AUUGAACGCUGGCGGCAGGCUUAACACAUGCAAGUCGAACGAGUGGCGGACGGGUGAGUAAUGCUUGGGAAUCUAGCUUAUGGAGGGGGAUAACUACGGGAAACUGUAGCUAAUACCGCGUACCAUAGGAUGAGCCCAAGUGGGCUUAGGUAGUUGGUGAGGUAAAGGCUCACCAAGCCGAAGAUCUCUAGCUGGUCUGAGAGGAUGACCGGCCACACUGGGACUGAGACACGGCCCAGACUCCUGCGCGAUGCCGCAGAGGGGAAUAUUGCGCAAUGGGGGCAACCUGACGCAGCCAGGCCGCGUGAAUGAAGAAGGCCUUCGGGUUGUAAUGUUCUUUCGGUAGCGAGGCGUUAACUACAGAAGAAGCACCGGCUAACUCCGUGCCAGCAGCCGCGGUAAUUC
rnacentral:rRNA from 1 species